UACGUAGGGGGCUAGCGUUGUCCGGAUUUAUUGGGCGUAAAGAGCGUGUAGGCGGCCACGCAGGUCCGUUGUGAAAACUGGAGGCUCAACCUUCAGACGUCGACGGAAACCGUAUGGCUAGAGUCCGGAAGAGGAGAGUGGAAUUCCUGGUGUAGCGGUGAAAUGCGCAGAUAUCAGGAAGAACACCAAUGGCGAAGGCAGCUCUCUGGGACGGUACUGACGCUGAGACGCGAAAGCGUGGGGAGCGAACAGG
rnacentral:rRNA from 1 species